AGAUACCAGUCAGACGUUGGCAGCGCAUGACCAACGCACGCCUGAGAUGACUGAUGUGGAUCCACAGAAAUCUGCAGACUUGCCGUGUGGGCCUCACUGUGCGCCUCUUACAUCUGUGGGCUCAAUAGAGGCCAAGCGGUCAUGCUGGUCCUUGGCUUUGCAUCCUGAUCAAGACAAAGUGCUACAUUACGUGUUGGAUCGCAGCAAGGCAGGCCAUGAGUAUAUAGUGAGGGACCACACUGUCUGCC